GAAAAUUCUGUCAGUAUUCUCAUUGGGUUUAACAUCCACUUAGGCGAUUCUUUCAUUUCCUGGCUUCUCAGUUCCUUGAGGGCCAUUACAUAUGAUAUUUUUUAAAUUUGGCUUACAGUCAGAGGCUUAUCCAAUUAAUUUACUAUGUUAAACCAGUAUUUAACAAAUAAAAGAAGAAAGAAUACAGCAGGAAUGGAUUUUAAAAACCAUCAGGGUGUAUUGUGUGAAAUGGGUAUUAUGGCAUUCCUGGGAAUGUGAAGCUCUCUUGUCCAUUCAUAUAGCAAGCACCUAUAAUCCCACACUUUUUGAAUUCCUGAAGCACUUUCUUCUUUGCAUCUUCCAUAGGACAUUUAUAAAUUCUGUAGUCCUUCUAGUAGAAUAGAAAAUCCUUGGGAAAAAGGAAUCUUUUAUGUGUGAUUCUUCAUUAUAUCCCCAGAAUCCGGAACAGUUCCUGGUAUUGACUUCACAUCGCUGAAAGACACACUGAAGGUAGAAAAGAUAGUCUUGAAUUGACGAUGCCACCCCUCCUUCCUCCACUGGCAGUGGCCACGUGACAAGGAGAGAGAAUCUGUGCACUUGUGGGAGGGAGCACAGCAAAUGGGGACUUGGCAUUAAACUCCAAUUGCAGCCCUGUCACAGCAGAGAGCAAAGCUAUGUUGGGUUCAGUUGGUGUCCCCCAUGAAGGGAGCAUUUGGACUUGCCUUAGCCAGAAGGGAAUUACCCAUCCAAGCAGUUGGAACUUGAGUUUCUUGGCAGGCCUCACCACUGUAGUCUAAAGAGCUCUGGGGUCCUAGGUAAACUUGAAAGGCUUUCUAGGACAAAGGGACUGCAGUUCCUAGGCAAGUCCUAGUGCUGGGCUGGGCUUACAGCUAGUGAACUAGGGUGCCAUGUGACCCAGGGGACACCUGACAGGGCAGCUAAGGGAUUGCUUGCACCACUCCUCCUCCAACCCCAGGCAACACAGCUCACAGCAAGGAAAGUGACUCCUUCCUUUUGUUUAAGGAGAGGAGAGCAAAGAGUAAAGAAGAAGAGGACUUUGUCUCGCAUUUUGGAUACCAGCUCAGCCACAAUAGGAUAGGGCACUGGGCAGAGUUGUGAGGUCUCCAUUCUAGGCUCUUGCUCCCUGAUGACAUUUUUAGACACACUCUGGGCCAGAAAGGAACCUGCUGCCUUGAAGGGAUGGACCUAGUCCUGGCAGGAUUUCUUAUCUGCUGACUAAAGGGCCCUUGACCCCUGAAUAACCAACAGCAAUAUUGAGAUAGUAUGCUGUGGGGCUUAGGUGAGACUCUGAGGCAUGCUGACUUCAUAUAGGACCCAGCACAUUCCCAGCUGUGGUGGCCACUCCUGCUUGAGAAAAGCAGGGGAAAAAGUAAAGAGGACUUUGACUGACACCUUAGGUAUCAACUUGGCCACAGUGGGGUGGAGCACUAAGUGGGUUCUUGGAGUCCCAAUUCCUGUCCUGGGCUGUUGGGCAGCAUUUCUAGAUCUCCUAGGGCCAGAGGAGAUAUCACUUCCCUGAAGGGCAAGUCCCAGGCUAGACAGCAUUUACUACAAGCUGACUGAAGAGCCC
rnacentral:lncRNA from 1 species